rnacentral:misc_RNA from 1 species
UUGAUUCAUUUUGUGUUUGCUCAGACGGGUUCAGUGGUUGAUUUUAAAAGGUUCAGAGGGCUCGCCGCCCCUGGCGGGGGGCGGGGGGGCCUGCGAGAGGCCCCCCCGCCCGGCCCGCCAGAAGCAACGAGAACAGACUGGGGUACGGUUGGCAAGGGUUGGGAGUUGCGAGAACUCGGUAAUGAUCCCUCCGCUGGUUCACCAACGGAGA